CAAAUUCCCAAUGCCAGGUCUGAGACAGAGGGGAUCGCAGUGGAGACUGCACUCGCUUCAGCAGUUACCAGCUCUGGUAAUAUCUGUUGAGCAACUGCUCCAUGGCAGGGCUGGGGAGGUGGCCCGUGAACAAAUUGGCCAGGGCAGGUCCCUGCUCCGACCUGUGGUGCUUGCAGUCACCGUCUGGGGAGGGACUGCAAAACCACACAGACAGUACGACAGACGGUGCACCAUGAGGAGAAGGUCUGGCUUCCAUGAACAUGUGCCACAGCGGGAGCAAAGUAAAUGAGAUUGGAGGGGGCCAGGAGGAAAUGACAUUGAAGCUCAGAGGAAGAGAAUUUAACCAGGACUGGACUGUCUUCCGGGGGCGAUCAGAGCAAAGGCGCUAAGAUGACAGGAGCCACUAUGCGUCUGAAGAAGCCAGAGUCAGGGUCUUGCUCUGUUGUCCAAGCUGGAGUGCAGUGGUGUGAUCAUGGCUCACUGCAGCCUCGACCUCCCAGGCUCAAGAGAUCCUCCUGCCUCAGCCUCCUAAGUGGCUGGGACUACAGGCAUGCACCACCAUGCCACCAAAUUUUAUAUUUUUGGUAGAGAGGGCCUUGCUGCUUUGC
rnacentral:lncRNA from 1 species